GCCUUCGUGGUGUAGUGGUGAGCGCACUCGGCGUGUAUUUAAGAAGUCCGAGGUUCGAGUUCCGGCGAGGGCA
rnacentral:tRNA from 1 species